CUAUGAAACCGCUAAACCAAACACUGUAAUGUGUCGAUCAGUGCUGGGUUACAGUGUUUCUUAAGAGGAUGACAGAAACGAAACCUCUGAAGAAGUUGGCAGUUGAACUGAGACUUGAAUGUGAGGAGGUAUCACCCAUACAGGGAUCUGGAGAAAGCAAAUUCCAAGAAGAAGGAAUGGUGAAUGUGAAGUACCUGGAGAAAGAGGAAAAUGAGAUAUUGUUCAACAGAUGCUUCUUAUGGCCUACUGCUCUGAGUAAGGCACCAUUCUAGAUGCUGUGGGGAUACAGAGGAGGCCUUCUAAAUGUGAACUAAAGCUUGAAAACAAGGAAGGAAGGAAAGAAGAAAGGAAGGAAUCACAAAAUGCCAGCCCUUUUCAGUCACUUGUUGGGGACAUGACAAGAACCAAGCAAAAAUUAAAAACCACA